rnacentral:RNase_P_RNA from 1 species
AGUAGGUUGAACGGUUGCGUGCUGCGUGCAGCAUGAGGAAAGUCCGGGCUUCACAGGGCAGGAUAACGGCUAACGGCCGCCGGGGGCGACCCCAGGGCAAGUGCAACAGAAAUAUACCGCCGUUUUGCGGGCUUUGGCUUAGGCCAUUGACUGCGCCUUUUGGCGCGGCCCCGCACGGUAAGGGUGGAAAGGCGAGGUAAGAGCUCACCGAACGCGCGGGUAACUGCGCGCUCCUGUAAACCCUAUCCGAAGCAACACCAAGUAAAGCAAUACGCCGGCCCGGCGUGCUUUGAAAGGUGGCUGGAGCUGUAUUGAGCAAUCAACAGCCAAGAUAGAUAACCGUUCACGACAGAACCCGGCUUACAGACCUACUCA